GUGGGGAAUAUUGGACAAUGGGCGAAAGCCUGAUCCAGCCAUGCCGCGUGUGUGAAGAAGGUCUUCGGAUUGUAAAGCACUUUAAGUUGGGAGGAAGGGCAGUAAGUUAAUACCUUGCUGUUUUGACGUUACCGACAGAAUAAGCACCGGCUAACUUCGUGCCAGCAGCCGCGGUAAUACGAAGGGUGCAAGCGUUAAUCGGAAUUACUGGACGUAAAGCGCGCGUAGGUGGUUUUGUAAGUUGGAGGUGAAAGCCCCGGGCUCAACCUGGGAACUGCCUCCAAAACUGCAUGACUAGAGUACGGUAGAGGGUAGUGGAAUUUCCUGUGUAGCGGUGAAAUGCGUAGAUAUAGGAAGGAACACCAGUGGCGAAGGCGACUACCUGGACUGAUACUGACACUGAGGUGCGAAAGCGUGGGGAGCAAACAGGAUUAGAAACCCUAGUAGUCC
rnacentral:rRNA from 1 species